GACGAACGCUGGCGGCGUGCCUAACACAUGCAAGUCGAGCGAGAAUUUCGCAGCGGAAUCCUUCGGGAGGAAGCAGUGAAAGGAAAGCGGCGGACGGGUGAGUAACGCGUGAGUAACCUGCCUUCAGGAGGGGGAUAACAUUCCGAAAGGGGUGCUAAUACCGCAUGACAUUGUUUUUCUGCAUGGAAGAACAAUCAAAGAUUUAUCGCCUGAAGAUGGACUCGCGUCUGAUUAGAUAGUUGGUGGGGUAAAGGCCUACCAAGUCGACGAUCAGUAGCCGAACUGAGAGGUUGAUCGGCCACAUUGGGACUGAGACACGGCCCAGACUCCUACGGGAGGCAGCAGUGGGGGAUAUUGCGCAAUGGGGGGAACCCUGACGCAGCAACGCCGCGUGAAGGAAGAAGGUUUUCGGAUUGUAAACUCCUGUUGUUGAGGAAGAUAAUGACGGUACUCAACAAGGAAGUGACGGCUAACUACGUG
rnacentral:rRNA from 1 species